GUCCACGCCCUAAACGAUGAUUACUAGUUGUCGGGACUCCUAAUUGUCUCGGUGACGCAGCUAACGCAUUAAGUAAUCCGCCUGGGAAUUACGGUCGCAAGAUUAAAACUCAAAGGAAUUGACGGGGGCCCGCACAAGCGGUGGAUCAUGUGGUUUAAUUCGACGCUACGCGAAGAACCUUACCUAGGCUUGACAUCCCGUGCUACCCCAUGAAAGUGGGGGUUCCCUUCGGGGACGCGGAGACAGGUGCUGCAUGGCUGUCGU
rnacentral:rRNA from 1 species